rnacentral:rRNA from 1 species
CUCAUCAGCCACACCACCUACAGGUCAGACCAGGUAAUCCACCUGAAGCUAAGCAGGUUUGGCCCUGGCCAGUACUUGGAUGGGAGACUGACAAGGAAAGCUGGGUUGCUGCUGGAA